rnacentral:snoRNA from 1 species
AAGACUAUACUUUCAGGGAUCAUUUCUUGAGUUCUUGACUCGAGACAUCUGUUUCAGAAGUGUCUGGUCUCGCUACCCACGACAAGUCGAUUAUACUCCUUUCUGAGCAGCUGAGAAGCGGGCAGAAAGAAAUGAUUCAGUUCAUAUUCUCUCUGCCCUUGAGGAUCGUUCUUGGUUCUUUUUAGGUACUUUGAGGUUGAUGAAGAGCUUUAAAGUAAU